rnacentral:rRNA from 1 species
CAAUAGCGUAUAUUAAAGUUGUUGCAGUUAAAAAGCUCGUAGUUGAAUUUCUGGGUCCACCGGUUGCCGACUUCGGUCGUGCUUCCCGCGGAUUCAUCCUCGCCCCUCGGGGCGUCAUUUACUGUGAAAAAAUUAGAGUGUUUAAAGCAGGCUUAGGCUUGAAUACAUUAGCAUGGAAUAAUAAGAUAGGACCGAGUCGUAUUUUGUUGGUUGCGCGAAACGGUAAUGAUUAAUAGGGACAGUUGGGGGUAUUCAUAUUUAAUUGUCAGAGGUGAAAUUCUAAGAUUUGUUAAAGAUGAACUACUGCGAAAGCAUUUACCAAGGAUGUUUUCAUUAA